rnacentral:rRNA from 1 species
AAGGAAUCUUCGGCAAUGGGCGCAAGCCUGACCGAGCAACGCCGCGUGGAGGACGACGGCCUUCGGGUUGUAAACUCCUUUUUGGGGGGAUGAUACGGACGGUACCCCCAGAAUCAGCCCCGGCUAACUCUGUGCCAGCAGCCGCGGUAAUACAGAGGGGGCAAGCGUUGUCCGGAUUUACUGGGCGUACAGCGCGCGCAGGCGGCACGGUAUGUGACCGGUGACAUCCUCGGGCUCAACCCGAGGCGGCCCGGUUAGACAGCCGCGCUGGAGGCAGGGAGAGGGAUGUGGAAUACCCGGUGGAGCGGUGAAAUGCGUAGAGAUCGGGUGGAACACCAGCGGCGAAGGCGGCAUCCUGGCCCUGUACUGACGCUGAGGCGCGAUAGCGUGGGGAGCAAA